UACGUAGGUGGCAAGCGUUGUCCGGAUUUACUGGGCGUAAAGGAUGCGUAGGCGGUUGUUUAUGUGAGAUGUGAAAUACCCGAGCUCAACUUGGGUGCUGCAUUUCAAACUGGAUAUCUAGAGUGCAGGAGAGGAAAGCGGAAUUCCUAGUGUAGCGGUGAAAUGCGUAGAGAUUAGGAAGAACACCAGUGGCGAAGGCGGCUUUCUGGACUGUAACUGACGCUGAGGCAUGAAAGCGUGGGGAGCAAACAGG
rnacentral:rRNA from 1 species